rnacentral:rRNA from 1 species
AUACGUAGGGUGCAAGCGUUAAUCGGAAUUACUGGGCGUAAAGCGUGCGCAGGCGGUUUUGUAAGACAGAGGUGAAAUCCCCGGGCUCAACCUGGGAACUGCCUUUGUGACUGCAAGGCUAGAGUACGGCAGAGGGGGGUGGAAUUCCGCGUGUAGCAGUGAAAUGCGCAGAUAUGCGGAGGAACACCGAUGGCGAAGGCAAUCCCCUGGGCCUGUACUGACGCUCAUGCACGAAAGCGUGGGGAGCAAACAGGAUUAGAUACCCUGGUUGUCCACGCCCUAAGCGAUGUCAACUGGUUGUUGGGUCUUCAUUGACUCAGUAACGAAGCUAACGCGUGAAGUUGACCGCCUGGGGAGUACGGCCGCAAGGUUGAAACUCAAAUGAAUUGACGGGG